ACACGCGCCCGCAAACCACUUCCCCUUCAUCUUUUCUCCUACUCCAUUCCCUCUUCACUUCGUUUCCUGUUCCCCUGGACCCCCUUUCUCGUCCAGCUCGCCGGGGUGCCACCGCUCACCGUUGCAACGCGAGCGGCAGGAAUCAGUGGGAUCCGCCAGCCCUCGAUUCGGAUCGGUGUCCACACCACCGGCUCCGACAUGCACACCAGCUGGAGGACGCCAUGAACCACCUUGUUUUCUGGAACCUCUUGGACCGAGGCCGCCUUCCUCGCUUUGUGACGCCACCGCGGUCAUCCUCCCCACCGAACAGCUCCAGGGACCGUGAUGUGCUCCUCUUUGUCCGCGUCUCCCCUGGACACUGACCACCAUUGCCGUUGUCUGGAGCUCGUUGCUCUGCUUUGCUCUGUCCAACCUCGCCACUAACAGCAGGGACAUCGCAUACAAUGCUCUGUACACAUUUUGGAAAUUCAUGAACAUUGAUCUUCCUCCGUUUGGUUCAUUUCCGGGGUUUCUUCCUCGUUUCAGUAGAGUCUGGCAACGAGGGGUAUUAUGAGUUUGAUACACAGCUUCUUCAGGACAUUGACCAACAAGGCAAGCAUCUUCUUGUUGACCCUAUCUUAUGUUUUACUUAUGUCGAAGGAUUAUACUACUCCCAAAGUCCCAUAUAAGGUCGUUUUCAAGCUACGUUAGAUUGAAAACCGUUCUUGUAUUAUGGGACAGCGGGAGUAUCUUGUUGUCGGUGUUGGUUACCAUCUCCUACCUUCCUUUGCAGUAUCCAUGUUUAGCUUUUUUGACAUUGCUAGGAGUUGCUUGCUGUUCAUGAUCAGCGCGUCAUCUUAAAAUGGUACAAUUAUGAUAACUUCAGACUAUAUUAACAAAAUUCAAACUAAAAGAGAUCCACGCAUACUUGCAGAAAAGAGGGUUGGGGCAAUACAAUUAUACUGGUAGAAAUAUAAAUUCAAGUGCUUGAUUGUAAUUUCAUAUGAAAUUGCAAAUUCAUGAGGUGUCACCGGAGCAAAACCUAAACACUAAACUGAAUCCUGCGACCAACGAUAAGAAUGCCGAACCAAAAAAUAAUGUAUUUCUAAUGAUAUCAGAACUUUCAUAUGACUGCAAAAUGAAAGAUAGAUAUAAUGGAUAAUUUACUGGUAAAUAUCAACUGUUUAAAAAAAAAAUCCUUGGUUAUUAGUUUCCAACUAAAUGGAAGAUACAUGACAGAAAUAUAUCAUGAAUGAAAAAACUGUAAUUAGCUAUGCUGUUGUUAUUCUAUUUUAAAGGAGAAGCAAAAGAAAAACACGGA